rnacentral:rRNA from 1 species
GAUGAACGCUAGCGAUAGGCUUAACACAUGCAAGUCGAGGGGCAGCACAAGGUAGCUUGCUAUCUGGGUGGCGACCGGCGCACGGGUGCGUAACGCGUAUGCAACUUGCCCUAUACAGGAGGAUAACCCGUCGAAAGACGGACUAAUACUGCGUAUGCUCACAACUUGGCAUCAAGUGGUGAGGAAAGAAAUUCGGUAUAGGAUAGGCAUGCGUCCCAUUAGCUUGUUGGUGAGGUAACGGCUCACCAAGGCAACGAUGGGUAGGGGAACUGAGAGGUUUAUCCCCCACACUGGUACUGGGACACGGACCAGACGCCUACGGGAGGCAGCAGUGAGGAAUAUUGGUCAAUGGGCGCGAGCCUGAACCAGCCAAGUCGCGUGAAGGAUGACUGUCUUAUGGAUUGUAAACUUCUUUUAUACGGGAAUAACAAGAGUCACGGGUGACUCCCUGCAUGUACCGUAUGAAUAAGCAUCGGCUAACUCCGUG